GACCAGACUCCUAGGGAGGCAGCAGUGGGGAAUAUUGCACAAUGGGGGAAACCCUGAUGCAGCGACGCCGCGUGAGUGAAGAAGUAUUUCGGUAUGUAAAGCUCUAUCAGCAGGGAAGAAAAUGACGGUACCUGAUUAAGAAGCCCCGGCUAACUACGUGCCAGCAGCCGCGGUAAUACGUAGGGGGCAAGCGUUAUCCGGAUUUACUGGGUGUAAAGGGAGCGUAGACGGCGAUACAAGUCUGAAGUGAAAGCCCGGGGCUCAACCUGGGAACUGCUUUGGAAACUGUAUGGCUAGAGUGCUGGAGAGGUAAGCGGAAUUCCUAGUGUAGCGGUGAAAUGCGUAGAUAUUAGGAGGAACACCAGUGGCGAAGGCGGCUUACUGGACAGUAACUGACGUUGAGGCUCGAAAGCGUGGGGAGCAAACAGGAUUAGAUACCCCGGUAGUA
rnacentral:rRNA from 1 species